UGAGGAAUAUUGGUCAAUGGACGCAAGCCUGAACCAGCCAUCCCGCGUGCAGGAAGACGGCGCUAUGCGUUGUAAACUGCUUUUCCAGGGGGAGAAACUUGCGCACGUGUUGCGCAAUUGACGGUACCCUGGGAAUAAGCAUCGGCUAACUCCGUGCCAGCAGCCGCGGUAAUACGGAGGAUGCGAGCGUUAUCCGGAUUCAUUGGGUUUAAAGGGUGCGUAGGCGGACUAUUAAGUCAGUGGUGAAAUCCUGCAGCUUAACUGCAGAACUGCCAUUGAUACUGAUAGCCUUGAGUUUGGUUAAGGUAGGCGGAACGUGUAAUGUAGCGGUGAAAUGCUUAGAUAUUACACAGAACACCAAUUGCGUAGGCAGCUUACUGAGCCGACACUGACGCUGAGGCACGAAAGCGUGGGGAUCGAACAG
rnacentral:rRNA from 1 species